rnacentral:rRNA from 1 species
GACGAACGCUGGCGGCGUGCUUAACACAUGCAAGUCGAACGGAUAGGCCCUGCUUUUGUGGUGCGCUCGAGUGGCGAAUGGGUGAGUAACACGUGAGUAACCUGCCCUUGACUUUGGGAUAACUUCAGGAAACUGGGGCUAAUACCGGAUAUGAGCUCCCGUUGCCUGGUGGGGGUCGGUAAGUUUCGGAGGUUGGGGAUGGACUCGCGGCUUAUCAGCUUGUGGGUGGGGUAGUGGCUUACAAAGGCUUUGGCGGGUAGCCGGCCUGAGAGGGUGACCGGCCACAUUAGGACAGGGAUACGGCAAAGACUCCUGCGUGAGACAGCAAUGAGGGAUAUUGCACGAUGGGCGGAAGCCUGAAGCAGCGACGCCGCGUGCGGGAAGACGGCCUUCAGGUUAGAAACCGCUUUCGCCUGUGACGAAGCGAGAGUGACGGUAAUGAGUAAAGAAGCACCGGCUAACUACGUG